ensembl:lncRNA
AACUGGUUUCUUUUCAACCAACAUCCUCUGACAAUGUGUGAAGACCUUCCGUUUUAUUCUCAGAACAGUGAAAGAAAAUCUGAAAGCUGAGUACAUGAGAGGGUGGCAUCAUCUGCAUUUCAGUGGCCUGCCUUCAUAUUCAGCACAUCAGAAAGAAUAUCACUACAGAACUGUCUACGCUGUCAGCAGUACAAGUUACAGAAUGAAUUACUACUGAAUCUCAAUUUAGGGAUCAGGAGAGGAUGUGCUGAGUAAGUGAAAACACAGAAGCAAAGCGACAUGCCAUGGCUUUGUGGAUAUGUGGAUACAAGCAAUUACAGCUUAAUAGAUGUGGGUAAGCUGGUGAACAGAUAGAGGUUCUGCACUUCUUCAUGGUUUGCCCAAAGAUCAACAUUCUAAAUAUACCUUAUCUAAGACAACAAAUAAUGAAAUUGUCAAGUGAACUUGAACAUCAGAAUAAAUUUGAGAAAUCUCCUUAUAUCAAAAAGAAGCUUCAGAAAAAAAAUAGCAAGACAAGUUGUAGUUAAGUGCUGAAGAAUGAAAGGAUUGCUUUCCAGCAUUUUUAUUCCAGCUUCAGCAUAUUUUAUUUUAUAUAUAUAUAAAUAUAUAUACACACAUAAUUACAUACAUAUAUACACACACACACAUAUAUCUAUGCAGUGUUUUUCCCUCAAGGAAUAAGCCAUCUUAUUUAUGUCAUAGCUGAGAGGUGUGAAUUUCCUUCGCGCUUUAUCCAGCUUCAUAGAUGAAUCCCUGUUGGCAGAUCACACUGCACAGAAGACUGGUGAGUGACAGAGGCCACUGAUUACUAAUGGCCACAUCAGGAGGAAUUGCACUGUGAGGGAAGAUACCCACUUCCUCCUCAUCCCUAAUUUUGGGGUCUUGUUUCUAGAGAGUCCAUUGGAAGGAUUCACAUGGGGGACAGAGAAAUAAAAUACUAUCCACGUUCAUAAAAAGGUGUUUUCCUAAGCAACCACACUUCCCUCCCCCUCUAAACUCAAGGAGUGAGAAUAAAGCCUCCUGACAGGCUAUUCUCUUACUGUGCCAUGUUUCAAAGCCUUAUAAGGAGAAGAAACUGUGGCAUAAUUAAUACAUUGGAUAGCUGAAGACAUUACUGAAUCGUUAAACUGCAGCAUUUAACUGCAGUUAAAGUAUUCUUGGCCCCUAGGUCUUUACCAUUGUAUAAUCAUGAUCAGCUGUUUUAGAUAAACUAUGGAGAAAGUAAGAUAAAUCUUCCCAAAAUUUACAGUGAAGAAUAAAAUUCAGCAUAUAGCUUUCCCCUGCUCAUGGAAUUGAAUCAAUCAAUACUGCAUUAUGCUAUUGCUGGAGUGCAUAGUAGCAAUCACUGUUUGACAGUAAGGGUAUUUUGCACAGCAGUGAAGGUUAUCUAUAUAAUUUGUUUUAAACCUUUGGGUUCCCUAUGUUAGUCCUUUGGGAGAACUGCAGGAAACCUUGCUCUGUACAUUUUCUGUUUGCUGAAAAUUGUAACAUAGUCAUCAGAAAAAGAAAAAGAGAGAAAGAGAGAAAGAGAGAAAGAGAGAAAGAGAGAAAGAAAGAAAGAAAGAAAGAAAGAAAGAAAGAAAGAAAGAAAGAAAGAAAGAAAGAAAGAAAGAAAGAAAGAAAGAAAGAAAGAAAGAAGGAAAGAAAGAAAGAAAGAAAGAAAGAAAGAAAGAAAGAAAGAAAGAAAGAAAGAAAGAAAGAAAGAAAAGAAAAAAAAAUCAAAAGGAUAACAAAGCUUUGCUAAUAGGAAUGAUCCAUACACCCAGACAGAUGCGUUUUCCUGUGGACAGUGGAAAGAAUGCAGAUGUAAUUGGAACCCAUUGGAACCCAUUUUUGCCCAGGAGAUCUCAGAUGGAAGUCUGGAAGUCCUGACUGAAAAAAAUGAAGUGGAAUUCAGAGCAAUUUUUUGCCACUUCUUUCCAAUUCAGUUUUCAGCACGACUACAAAGGGACUUCUUGCUUCAGGCCAGGCUGGAUGAUUUGUGAAGCCACGGAAGUAAAAAUAAAGUAAAGCUGUCCUUCAAGAAACUGAAUAAACUGUUUUGGUUGAGUGUGUGGUUUUCUAAAUACAUGCAGAAAGAUGUAUACCCCAAACAUGUAUUUAGCAGAAUGGAUUUUGUUAAUGUCAAUAGCUAAAUACCAUAUUGGUUUGUUUUAUCAGCAUGCACAAUACUUACUUUUUAAAUGAUUCCAUCACUGUAUGUGGUUUAUGUAAAGCAAGUAAACUGAGAUUUCAUGUAAUUACAGUAAUUAAAAAGAGAGGUGGACAGGGCAGACUAUUUGUUAUACCAUGUAUGAUAAGAAGAUAGAGGCACCAUUCAAAGAGUUAUGACUUGUUAGUGAGUAGUAGACUCUUGAAAUUGUCAAGAAGUGUUGUUUGAAAAAAACAAAUGAAGAGAAGCAGAUAAAAUCAUCUAUUAUUAACUAAUGUAAGCAUAUGAAUUUCAGCGUGCAGCAUGCUUGCUACCGAUAGUCAUGGUGCAUUGUUACAGUGAAUUAAUAACAUUGUCACAAUGGAUAAUAUCACAUUUUCUGGCUAUACAAGUGAAAGGAAAACUAUCAGAAUUUCACAAUAACAGAGAAGCUUUGAAAUUAAAAUAAUAAUAAUAAAAGCCUACAAACUCACCACCAUUAAGUUACAUUCUUGAGUGGUGGGCAGUAUAACCUUGGCCUACUAUAGUAAAUGAAAGAGCACCAACCUGUUUGUAGGAGAUACGUGUUUUGCAUGCAUAUCUUAGUUGAUUUUAAUCUUUCUGAUUGAAUUUAGGGUGAAUAUUAAAAGCAAACUCAUAAUUUUUUGCACUUGAUAUUUCCAGUGGAAGGAGCACUGCCUAGUACAAUAUCUUCUAAUAAAAUAAAAUAAAAAUUCAUAAUUAUAAAUAAAAUAAAAAUUCAUAGUUGACUUCAGCUUCUCAACAGUGUCUAUGAAAUUUACUCCUAUUUGGUUUGUCUUUCUUCAUCACUGCCAAAAUAGAUCCUUUGUAUCUGUAUCUACAAUAAUGUACACCAUCUCCCUCAUAGGUACUGAACAUCCUAGACACCUCCAAAUCAAUCAUAAAUUAGUGAGGCAAAGUUAGUUAAUUUAAGUGAGUUUAAGCAAUGAUAACUUAAUGGAGGGACUUGUAAACCACAGCAGAAAUGUAAUGUUUAUGGAUUUUUUACAUAAAUGGAAGAAAAACAGGAUUUUUCAAUUUCUUCUGGGAAAAAAAAACAGCAACAACAACCAUGAAGUGAAAAUGAGAACAUGGGAAGGGAGCAGUGCAGUGCUGAUUUGUCCUCUCACAGCCACAGCACUUAUUUAGAUGCAUCAAGACUCACACGUAUUGCACAUUACAUGCGCUUCUGUCGCUUGCUGAGUAAAAUGCAGUGAUUGUCGAUAUUAGUAUUUCAACCUGUCUAAUGGCAAACCCCAAAAAAACCAAAACUCUGGAUGAAGGAAGAGUGUUAAACAAAAAAUGGUCAGAUUAGUAAUUUUUUUUUCAAGACAAAUAAUAUGGCACUCUGCUUAAUUUGCAAGGAAAUGAUGUCAGAUUUCAAACAAUACCAUUUGAAAAGAUAUUAAGUGCAGAAACAUGCUGACAAAUUCAAUGAAUAUCAAAGAAUGCCUCAUAAAGACAAAACAGUGGAACUGAAAACAAAGUCUAUCACCUCAACGCAAGCUUUUUUAAAAAGUUAAAUGGACUGUUGUAAAAGCUAGUGACAUGGUAACAAAUCUGAUGGCAAAAAAUCAAAACCAUUUACUGAUGGUGAGUUUAUUAAGCAGUGAAAGAAAAGCAUGACAGAUAUAAUGUGUCCUCAUAAAAAAUGGACUUUUCUAAUAUCAGUUUGUCUCACCAGACUGUAGCUAGGUGAACUUAAGAAACAGGAAAAUCUAUUGAGAGAAAUUCGGUGAUAGACAAAAGUACGGAUGCUACAGAUAUUGCUCAACUUGCCAUUUUCAUUAGAGGUAUUGGUAAUGAACAUAACGUCACUGAAGAAAUGGCUUCUGUGGUUCUGCUGAAAGACACAACUAAAUCUCCUUAUUUGUUUGAAGCAGUAGAAAAAUAUGUUAAAGCCAUUUUCUUUAACCUUUGUCAACAUAUCUGGUGUAGCUACUGAUGGUGCUCCAUGGAUGGUCAGUAAAAAAGAGGGACUUUAUAAAAUUAAUAGAAGAUGAUGCAAUUGCUGCUUGCGACUCACAUUUGAUGAAAUAUCAAUAUUAUACAUCAAGAAAAUUUAUUUGUGAAAGCUGUAAAAAUGGAUGAUGUCUUGAAAAUCAUCAUUAAAGCCGUGAAUUUCAUAAAGUCCAAGGGAUUGAACGAUCAUCAGUUCCAGGAGUUCCUUAAAUGUAUGGGUAUUGGUUAUGAGGACAUCUACUUUUCUGAAGGAAAGUGGCUAAGCCAGGGUAAAAUGCUAAAAAGACUUUACUAUUUCUGAAAUGAAAUAAAGUCCUUUAUGGAAUUAAAAGGAAAAUUUGUGCCAUAAGGUGAAGAUAAAAAAAUGGCACACAGAUUUAGCAUUUUUUUGUGGAUAUGACUGUUCAUUUAAAUGAGCUAAACAUGUAUCUUCAAGGUGAAAAUAAACUUACCUGUGCUAUGUUUCAAACCAUAACAGCAUUUGAAAUGAAAUGUAAAUUAUGGCAAGCUCAAGUUAUGGCAAAUAAUUUAAUGCAUUUUGAUGUGUUGGCUAAACGCAGCCCUGUGCUGUGCAAAAAACAGCAAAAAAUACUCAGCCUUGCUUUCAGUUUUGAUAAAGGAAUUUAAGAACAGGUUUGAAGAUUUCCAAAAAAGUCAUUAAUUUUUUUGUAUAUUUGCAACCUUGUUUUCAGUUGACAUAAGUACAUUAGCUGUGAAUUUUCAAGUAUGAUGUAUGGAGUUGCAAGGAGACAUUCAGCUCAAAGAAAAAUUUGGUCAUGUCUCUUUACUGGUCUGUUAUAACAGAGAAAAAUGUUCAUUGCUUGACAAUCAUGCCUUGUUCAUGUCAUCACUUUUUGGCGGUAUGUACAUUUGUGAACAGUUGUUGUCAAGGAUGAAGCAUGGGAAGAGUAACAUUUCAUCAAAAAUAUCUGACAAACACCUUGAGAGCUCACUAACAAUUGCAACCGCUUUCAUUGAACUAAACAUUGAUGCAUUAGUUUCACAAAAACAGGAUCAAAUAUCCUACUAGUUUUAUAUUUGUGUUGCUCUCUGUUUAUAUUUUAAUAAAAAAAAAUUGCAUAAAAAAUAAAU